UAAGGUUCCUUAGAUCGUACAAUCCUACUUGGAUAACUGUAGUAAUUCUAGAGCUAAUACAUGCAACAAGCUCCGACCUCUCCUGGGAAGAGCGCUUUUAUUAGAUCAAAACCAAUCGGUUCCUUCGGGUUCCGUCCAAUUGGUGACUCUGGAUAACUUUGUGCUGAUCGCAUGGCCACGAGCCGGCGACGUAUCUUUCAAAUGUCUGCCCUAUCAACUUUCGAUGGUACCUGAUAUGGCUACCAUGGUUGUAACGGGUAACGGGGAAUCAGGGUUCGAUUCCGGAGAGGGAGCAUGAGAAACGGCUACCACA
rnacentral:rRNA from 1 species